rnacentral:lncRNA from 1 species
AACAGAGCCAACUCUUAAUAAUUUGAGGACCAGAUCACAGCCUGAUUGUCCCCAUCUGGGCUGGUUGCCCCAACUCAAUUCCUGUCACAUUUAAAUGACAUUCUGCUCAGUUAGCUCUUACAGGCAAAAUUUUGAUCUCUCAGAGACAAGAGAUUCAAGAGGUCCCCCAUUCCUUUUUCCACCUCCAUGAAGGGUGUUGCCUAAACUACCCCUGAGAAAUGAUUAGAUUCUGUGCUUAACCAUCAUCAAGGAACAUUUCAUAAAUUUCUCCAGGCAUUCCACCUUCUUUGGGCCAGGCACGACUUCAUACCACCUUCAGAAAUUGAAGUUUAACAGGAAUUCUCCAUGAAACGCAUCAGGAAGCUGCUCAGGAAUGGCCCAGAAGGAAGGAGCCCAGAGCAACAGAACCCUGUAUGGAGGAGAGGCUUCAGCAGUGCUGGUGGUGAAUGGUUGUGACCUGGAGUGAGAAGAUCCAUAGAGGUGGGUGAACUCAGGGCAGCCUCCUCUCGCAGGGCCUGAUGCAGAACCCUGAGUCUGGGUACCCUGAUACAAGCUGAUGCCUGCAGAUUAGCCCGUGGAGGGGGUAGGCCUAUGACCAGAAGGCAAGCGGCUAAGGGGGAAGGGGAAGCUCUCAUCUGACCCCUCUGAACUUGGCAACCCCUGCUCCUGAGCAGCAGCCAGCUUUGCUCUUCCUCUCUUUGAAGAAAGCAGAAAAAGAAAGUGCUUUG